UCAGUUGAAUUGUGGUGGCUCGAAAACUAUCAGAUUUAAGACAAAAUGUUAAAUUAAAUAACUUUAAGCUUUUGAACUUGCCUUUUAACGCAAAAA